ensembl:misc_RNA Metazoa_SRP Metazoan signal recognition particle RNA
GCCGGGUACAGGAAACACGCACCUGUAGUCCUGGCUCCUUGGGAGGCUGAGGCGGGAGGGUCGCUUGAGCCCAGGAGUUCAAGGCUGCAGUGAGCUAUGAUUGCACCUGAGAGUAGCUGCUGCACUCCAGCCUGGGCAAUACAGUGAGACCCCAUCUCUU